UAGUCCACGCCGUAAACGAUGGAUACUAGCUGUCCGGGACUUUAAGUUCUGGGCGGCCAAGCGAAAGUGAUAAGUAUCCCACCUGGGGAGUACGUUCGCAAGAAUGAAACUCAAAGGAAUUGACGGGGCCCGCACAAGCGGUGGAGCAUGUGGUUUAAUUCGACGCAACGCGAAGAACCUUACCUGGAUUUGACAUGCAUGGGAAAGCUCUAGAGAUAGAGCCCUCUUCGGACUCAUGUGCAGGUGCUGCAUGGCUGUCGUCAGCUCGUGUCGUGAGAUGUUGGGUUAAGUCCCGCAACGAGCGCAACCCUUGUCCUCAGUUGCCAGCACAUAAUGGUGGGGACUCUAAAGAGACUGCCUGCGCAAGCAGAGAGGAAGGAGGGGGACGACGUCAAGGUCAUCAUGGCCCUUAGCCCAGGGGCUACACACGUGCUACAAUGGGUGCAUACAGAGGGGUAGCGACAU
rnacentral:rRNA from 1 species